rnacentral:rRNA from 1 species
AGUGAACGCUGGCGGCAGGCCUAACACAUGCAAGUCGAGCGGCAGCGCGGGGGCAACCCUGGCGGCGAGCGGCGGACGGGUGAGGAAUUCGUCGGAAUCUGCCUUUUUGUGGGGGAUAACGUAGCGAAACUUACGCUAAUACCGCAUACGUCCUACGGGAGAAAGUGGGGGACCGCAAGGCCUCACGCAGAAAGAUGAGCCGACGACCGUUUAGCUCGUUGGUGGGGUAAAGGCCCACCAAGUCGACGAGCGGUUGCUGGUCUGAGAGGCUGAUCAGCCACACGGGAACUGAGACACGGCCCAGACUCCUACGGGAGGCAGCAGUGGGGAAUAUUGGACAAUGGGCGAAAGCCUGAUCCAGCCAUGCCGCGUGUGUGAAGAAGGCCUUCGGGUUGUAGAGCACUUUUGUCCGGAAAGAAAUCCCUGGAGCUAAUACCUUCGGGGGAUGACGGUACCGGAAGAAGAAGCACCGGCUAACUUCGUG